CUCGGGAUUGCCUGUUUCUUUUUAAGGUGGCUCUGUGAAUUAAUUAGGUGAUCGGUUAGAAGCGGAGCCAGGAGAACAUCCGCCUCGGGGCGAGGAGUCGAGAAGCCGAGGAGACUUGAGAGGAAGGUUGCAACAGGGAGGACAUGUUCCUACUGGAAGGAAAGGAUCCGAAUAGAAGAAAAGGUUCCUACUAGAAGGAAAGAAACCUUAUUAGAAAGAAAGGAUCCUGCUGAAAAGAAAGGUCCCAUACUGGAAGGAAAGGAUCCGAAUAGAAGGAAAGGUUCCUACUGGAAGGAAAGGUCCCAACUAGAAGGAAAGGAACCUUAUUAGAAAGAAAGGAUCCUGCUGAAAAGAAAGGUCCCUACCACAAAGGAUCCAAAUAGAAGGAAAGGAUCCUACCAGAAGGAAAUAUGGAAGCAAAGGAGAAACGCACAUCUGGACUGAUGAGGCUCAUUGGGUGCCAUCUCAUUUAUUAUUACAUAAUAGUUUAG
ensembl:lncRNA